rnacentral:rRNA from 1 species
GGGCGCACGCGCGCUACACUGACAGAGCCAGCGAGUCUUCUCUCCUUUGCCGGAAGGCAUGGGUAAUCUUGUGAAACUCUGUCGUGAUGGGGAUAGAACAUUGCAAUUAUUGUUCUUCAACGAGGAAUACCUAGUAAGCGUGAUUCAUCAGAUCGCGUUGAUUACGUCCC